UACGUAGGGUGCAAGCGUUUGUCCGGGAAUUAUUGGGCGUAAAGAGCUCGUAGGCGGUUUGUCGCGUCUGCUGUGAAAACCCGAGGCUCAACCUCGGGCCUGCAGUGGGUACGGGCAGACUAGAGUGCGGUAGGGGAGAUUGGAAUUCCUGGUGUAGCGGUGGAAUGCGCAGAUAUCAGGAGGAACACCAAUGGCGAAGGCAGAUCUCUGGGCCGUUACUGACGCUGAGGAGCGAAAGCGUGGGGAGCGAACAGG
rnacentral:rRNA from 1 species